GUGCCAGCAGCCGCGGUAAUACGGAGGGUGCAAGCGUUAAUCGGAAUUACUGGGCGUAAAGCGCACGCAGGCGGUCUGUCAAGUCGGAUGUGAAAUCCCCGGGCUCAACCUGGGAAACUGCAUUCGAAACUGGCAGGCUAGAGUCUUGUAGAGGGGGGUAGAAUUCCAGGUGUAGCGGUGAAAUGCGUAGAGAUCUGGAGGAAUACCGGUGGGGAAGGGGGCCCCCCUGGACAAAGACUGACGCUCAGGUGCGAAAGCGUGGGGAGACAAACAGGAUUAGAUACCCUGGUUAGUC
rnacentral:rRNA from 1 species